UUCGUACAGAACUUUCAUUCUCUGUCAUCCAUACCAUCUCUCUAAAUUCUUCACAGUUUAGAGAAGAACCAGGAGAAACCCUAAUCUCAAUUUUCGAUCUUCAUCGAUUUACUUAAAAUUGUCAUUAGUAACUUCUUAAUUUCUUUAGUUAAGAACUUAGAGUCUUCGCAUAACAAAUGUCAAAGUAAGCGGAGAUCUCAACCCUCUAUCAGGAUCGGAGGAGGAUUGUUAGUUGUGGUAAGGGGAGUUUCAAAAAGCCUUAUGAUGAGAAGCCACAAAAAAAAUUCGAGAAGUACCAGCGGAGUAGGCCUCUGAUUCUAUCAAUGCUAACGAGGCUGUAUUGGAGGAAGGAGCACUAGAAGUGGACUGCAUAGAUUCCGAGAACUUGAAUAAUCUGGAGAUGUGAACAUAAGUGUCAAUGUAUAAGACAGCAUUAGGAGGGUUGGGCUCCAAAUAUUGGAUUUUGGUAUGUAAGGCUCUCGAUGAUAUGUGGCGCCUAUCAAUAUUACAUUACCAACCUAGGCUCAACAGGUUGUAAGCCUUUCUUUUAUAUGAAGAUAUGAAUAUGACUGUCAGAGAAACCUUUAGUUUGUUAUUCUUUAUAUGAGAUUUAGUGGUUAAUUCGGUUCUUCUUAUGAUUAUAUAUGUAGAUGUAGUGUUGGGUAAUCCUUGAAAAUCCAAGAAGUGCUGUCCGCUAAACUGUGAUUAUGACAAUUGAAGGAAUUUUGAAAUAGUUCUAUGGUGAUCUUUUUCUUUUUGAUCUUCAAACGGCCCUUUGCUUCAAAAUGUAUCUCCCUUUGCUUCAAAAUGUAUCUCAAUUUUCAGUACCGAACUGUUCUUUUUGCUGGUAGAAGUGUUCUAAUACUGUCAAAUUAUAUUAGCUAUUAAACUUUAUGCAGUCCGGGUUCAGCUUUUACAGCUUCUUCUCAAGUUACAGGAGAAAAGAUUUGUAUGCCAAGUUUCAGAGAGAUUUGGUAGCGAUGCUUGGUUGUGUACCCCUAUUUGUUUCUACCGAAGUGGCAGCCAUAUCUUUAGCAAAACAGUUCUCAGAUACGAGCUAAAGCGUCCAUGUGCUGGAGAGGGCCUGAGGCCUGAGAUAAUAUCUGCAGUUCAACUCAAUGACCUGCUUCUAUUGUCUAGAGAGAGUGUUCGCAUCCUGAUUUUGGAACUUCAAACUAUAUGGGAGUAAUCCCAUGUCCCUCCAUCAGCUGUAGUACAUGUUGAAAAAACAAAUAUGGUGAUUUGGGAGCGCUUGUGAAUUGAAACUGUCUCCUUCAAGUGCGGAAGCUGUCCGUUCUGUCACCAGGAUGGCGAAAACAACUAUGGUUUCUAACACCAGCUUCAGUUUGUUGGUCCUAACUUUUCUCGUUUGCACAAUUUGCAUUCGACUAGGAUCAUAUUUUUGUCUUUUCCUCAUUUUGGUUAGGUUGGCUAGCAAUAAAUAGUCUCUGUAAAAGCAGCAAUAAAUUGUCUCUGUGAAACCCCUACGUAAAUUGUACAUCUGUAACUCUGUACAGCCUAUGCUUACUCCUUCCAUUUGGGCAUGGUUUUCCCGCAG